rnacentral:other from 1 species
GUUGUGAUUUACUUUUAAUUUAGUCUCUUUGAACGAUUGAGUACAGC